UACGAAGGGUGCAAGCGUUACUCGGAAUUACUGGGCGUAAAGCGCACGUAGGCGGUGCGGUAAGUCAGGGGUUAAAGGCUGCAGCUCAACUGCAGUAAGGCCUUUGAUACUAUCGUGCUAGAGUGUCAGAGAGGAUGGCGGAAUUCCCGGUGUAGCAGUGAAAUGCGUAGAGAUCAGGAGGAACACCGAUGGCGAAGGCAGCCCCCUGGGCCUGUACUGACGCUCAUGCACGAAAGCGUGGGGAGCAAACAGG
rnacentral:rRNA from 1 species